GCCCCUGUAGCUCAGCUGGCAGAGCAGCCGACUUUUAAUCGGCGGGUCCCGGGUUCGAUCCCCGGCGGGGGCACCA
rnacentral:tRNA from 1 species